rnacentral:rRNA from 1 species
AAUAAUUAAGAAAUUCGGUAUGAGAGGGGAAUGCGUUCCAAUUAGUUUUGUGGGGGGGUAACGGCCCACCAAGACUACGAUGGAUAGGGGUUCUGAGAGGAAGGUCCCCCACAUUGGAACUGAGACACGGUCCAAACUCCUACGGGAGGCAGCAGUGAGGAAUAUUUGGUCAAUGGACGCGAGUCUGAACCAGCCAAGUAGCGUGAAGGAUGACUGCCCUUAUGGGUUGUAAACUUCUUUUAUAUGGGAAUAAAGUUGUCCACGUGUGGACUUUUGUAUGUACCAUAUGAAUAAGGAUCGGCUAACUCCGUGCCAGCAGCCGCGGUAAUACGGAGGAUCCGAGCGUUAUCCGGAUUUAUUGGGUUUAAAGGGAGCGUAGGCGGAUUGUUAAGUCAGUUGUGAAAGUUUGCGGCUCAACCGUAAAAUUGCAGUUGAUACUGGCAGUCUUGAGUGCAGUAGAGGUGGGCGGAAUUCGUGGUGUAGCGGUGAAAUGCUUAGAUAUCACGAAGAACUCCGAUUGCGAAGGCAGUCUCACUGGAGUGUAACUGACGCUGAUGCUCGAAAGUGUGGGUAUCAAACAGGAUUAGAUACCCUGGUAGUCCACACAGUAAACGAUGAAUACUCGCUGUUUGUCGUAUAUACAGUAAGCGGCCAAGUCGAAAGACAUUAAGUAUUCCUAUCCUGGGGUAGUCUAGUCGGUCAAAGCUUUUUUC